rnacentral:rRNA from 1 species
UGGUGGAGUGAUUUGUCUGGUUAAUUCCGUUAACGAACGAGACCUCAGCCUGCUUUUGUAGUUAUGCCUAUGCCUUCCCGGCCUAGGUCCGUGACUUCUUAGAGGGACUAUCGGUGUGGCAGCCGAUGGAAGUUUGAGGCAAUAACA